GACGAACGCUGGCGGCGUGCUUAACACAUGCAAGUCGAACGGAAAGGCCCUGCUCUUGUGGGGCGCUCGAUUGGCGAACGGGGGAGUAACACGUGUGUAACCUGCCCCUGACUUUGGGAUAACUUUAGGAAACUGGGGCUAAUACCGGAUAGGAUCUCUUGCUGCACGGUGGGGGUUGGAAAGUUUCGGCGGUGGGGGAUGGUCUCGCGGCUUAUGAGCUUGUUGGUGGGGUAGUGGCUUACCAAGGCUAUGACGGGUAGCCGGCCUGAGAGCGUGACCGGCCACAUUGGGACUGAGAUACGGACCAGACUCGUACGGGAGGCAGCAGUGGGGAAUAUUACGCAGUGAGCGGGAGCCUGAUGCAGCGACGCCGCGUGCGGGAUGACGGCCUUCGGGUUGUGAACCGCUUUCGACUGUAACGAAGCGUGCGUGACGGUACUGGGUAAAGAAGCACCGGCUAACUACGUG
rnacentral:rRNA from 1 species